UCAAUGUGCUGGACCUUACAUAUCUGAGCCUACAUUCAUUUAAUUAGUUUUGGGUCGGAUCACCUGACCCGACCCAUGAGCAUUGUACAUAUAUAGGCUGAAGUGUAGAUAUUUUGGACCGAGACUUCAUAUUAUGUUUUAAUGAAAUUCUCUGUGGAUCUUCUCGAUCCUUCUCUCAACUACCUCCUUCUCUCUCUUGUUUCUCUCACUAUAUUGUUCAUAUUUCAGUUUGAUCUUAAUGUUUUCAUCAUUUAAAGCCACAAGACAGCAAACUCUUUCAUUUCAGGCCAUGGGAAAGAGAACUCCUUCCAUUCAGUCGACUCUUUCAUUAACUAUGUUCUUCUGCAUAUUGUUAUCUUGGUUGAAGUCUUGUUUGAGAUUUUUGGGGGUGUUUCUGACGCAUGUGGUCGAUGAUGAUUCCGAUCUAAAUCAGAUGCUUUUUUGAGACUUUCAUCAUGAUAUCUGAGUAUAUCUUCUUCACUUGAACGUUCUGGAAGAUUUUCCGAUGAUUUUUGGGUGAUUUCUUGGUGACUUAUCAGCUUCUAGGGUUUCUGGUGGUUGAACCUAGGAUUUAACUGCUAUCCGGUGGCUCGAUCCUCACUCAGUGGAUGUUUUGGGUGACUUUCCGACAUCCCUGACCAUAUUUCUAGUAAGGUUUGCGACGGUUGCACCUAGGGUUUUGUACCUAGGGUUUUCUCUGUUGAUUGAAGGCCGAUCUUCUCAGGUCGCGAAGAAGGAGGGUAACUCUGUCCUUAUUUUGAGUAUUGUAUGCUUUGUGUGUGACAAUCUGGUUCCGUAUGUGAGUGGAAGAAGGAGGGUAACUCUGUCCUUAUCUUGAAGUAUUGUAUGCUUUGUGUGUGAUUAUCUAACUCCGUAUGUGAGUAUCUGGUUUUGUGUGUGAAUAUCUAGUUUGGUUAUACUCUACUUGUAGAAACUGUUCUUUUAAGCCGGUUCAUUGAUUAUGGCUUCUAAUACGAAUGCUGGUAGCUCCUCCUCCUCAGUAGACUCUACCAGCCCCCACUUUGUACACUCCUCUAAUGUCCCUGGGGUCUCUCUUGUCCCCACUCCCUUCUCGGGAAGUGGUUAUGGGGGUUGGAGGACCUCUGAUGUUCCUGGAGUCUCUCUUGUGUCCACUCCUUUCUUGGGCAGUGGCUAUGGGGGUUGGAGGAGGAAGAUGAUUGUCGCGUUAUCUGCUAAAAACAUAAUUGGUUUUGUUGAUGGCACCUGUCCCCGGCCAGUCACUAAUGUGACUCAGCAAAGACUAUGGGACAGAUGCAAUAAUAUGGUAAUUUCCUGGUUGACUGCCUCCCUCUCCCCUCAAAUUGCUGAAAGUGUGCAGUAUUCUGAUACUGCACAGAGUAUAUGAUCCCAACUCCAGGCCAGAUAUGGCACUGCAAACAUGACCAAAAUCUUUGAAUUGAAAAGAGAGCUUUCUCACACUUCUCAAGGAUCCUUAGAUGUAGCUUUAUAUUUUAAUAAGCUUAAAGGUCUGUGGGAUGAACUAGAAUCAAUGUGUGUUAAUCAUGGUCGAAGAUGUGUUUGUGCUGCCAAAGAUGGUAUAAUACAGGAAAGUGAUGAAAUUAAGGUGUUUCAGUUUUUACUGGGUCUUAAUAAAGCAUACAUGGGGGUAAGGAGUAAUCUUUUGAUGAUGCAGCCUCCUCCAACUCUUGACAAUAUCUAUAAUAUGGUCCUCAAUGAUGAGAAGCAAAGACAAGUCCAGUCUCCUUCUCACUUUAAUCCAGGCUCUGUCUCUUUCAAUGUCCAUACUAAUAGGCAGCCUGUUGUAUUUAACAAGGCCACAGUGCCUAAUCCUUCUUCUCCUUUCAGACAAAGAGUCAAUUUUGAUCAUGAUACCAGGGUUGAGCAGACAACAUUAUGAUCAGUUGAUGAAUUUAUUGCAACAGACCCAGUUAGGGGACUCCACUGCUCAGACUCCUCCUCCCAUGUAUGCUGCUAACUUUGCUGGUACUAUGUUAACUGAGGGCCCUAUUUCUGAUUCCAAAAUCUGCUUGCUUACCAAUAUUAAUUCUGUCACCUAGAGCUGCCUCUAAUCACAUGACACAUGAUAAACAGUUACUUUUUAACAUCACACCUUUAACUCUGCCAUAUCUUGUCACUCUUCCUAAUGGCUAUAAAGUGAAAGUGACAUGCACAAGCUCUUUUGCAUUGACUCCUUCCAUCACUCUUCACAAUGUACUGUUGGUUCCUUCUUUUAAACAGAACUUGAUUUAUGUCCACAAGUUAGUGAAGCAGUUGCAUUGUAUAGUUAUGUUCACUGAACAUUCAUGCUUACUACACAUGAUACAGGACCCUUCUCUGAGAGGCCUCUGGAUCUUGGUAAAGAAGUUGCUGAAUUAUAUAAACUGGCUUGGGUUCCUCCUUCCUCUUCUUCCUCUGUUAGUUGUUCCUCUACUUCAGUUUGUUCUGUGUCUACUUCUUGUAAUAUGACAUUUUGUCUGAUAGCAAGGCUGUUCCAUUGCCCUCACAUGUAUAUAGUUCCAUCUGUAAUAAUGUUCUUACAACUGACAUGAAUUACAUUUGGCAUGGUUCAAACUAUUAGAAGUGACAAUGCCUUAGAAUUGGGAUCUAGCAUUGAGGGUACUUCUUUCUUUAGCAGUCAGGGGAUCAUACAUCAAACCACCUGUUCUCAUACCCCUCAACCGAAUGGUGUGGUUGAGAGGAAGCAUAGAACCCUCUUUGAAACCUGUAGAGCUUUGCAUUUUCAAUCUGGCUUGCCUGUAUCUUUCUGGGGGGACUGUUUGUUGACUGCCACUUACCUCCUUAACAGAAUACCCACUAGAUUGCUUCACAAUAAAUCCCCUCAUGAAAUCUUGUAUGGGAAAGUUCCACCCUAUUCUCAUUUGGGAACAUUUGGCUGCCUUGCCUAUGCUACUGUCUCAAUCCCUCAAAGGGAUAAGUUAAGGCCAAGAGCCCUUCCUUGUGUUUUCCUGGGCUUUCCCUUUGCCAAGAAAGGUUAUAAAUUGUAUGAUCUUGCUUCAAAGAAAUGUUUGGUUUCCAGGGAUGUUAUAUUUCAUGAAUCCUGUUUUCCUUUCAAAACUGUAUCUUCUUCUGUUCAUCCUUCUGUCUUUUCCUUUCCCUUUGCUCCCUCUGUAGGACAUGAUGAUGAUUCUGAUUCUACUUUUCCCAUCUCCUAUCCUCUUUCUCCUACUUCUGUGCAAGUACCUCCUCACACUGUUCUAGACUCUACUGACUCCCUUUUCCUUUCCCUUUGCUCCCUCUGUAGGACAUGAUGAUGAUUCUGAUUCUACUUUUCCCAUCUCCUCUCCUCUUUCUCCUACUUCUGUGCAAGUACCUCCUCACACUGUUCUAGACUCUACUGACUCUACCCUCACUCCUUCUUUCAAUCCUGAUAUCUCCCCUCCCGUUCUAGCUUCUUCUCCUCCUGUUCCUGCUCCCAGAAAGUCUCAAAGACAAUAUAAUCCUCCCUCUUAUCUUAAGGAUUAUGUCUGUCAACUACCUGCCUUUAUGGUUUUCCUGCUCCCAGAAAGUCUCAAAGACAAUAUAAUCCUCCCUCUUAUCUUAAGAAUUAUGGUUGUCAACUAGCUGCCUUUUCUGGUUCAUCUUCCUCCUCUUUGGAAUUUGAGCCUCUAUAUUACUCUCAGGCUGCAUCUGUUCCAGCAUGGCAAGAUGCCGUGAGAAAGGAGUUUGAUGCUUUGGACGCUAACCAUACUUGGGAUGUUGUUCCUCUUCCUCCUAGUAAGAAACCCAUUGGUUGUAAAUGAGUUUAUAAAAUAAAAUACAAGGCUGAUGGCUGUGUUGAAAGGUAUAAAGCCAGACUUGUUAUUAGAGGUGAUAC
rnacentral:lncRNA from 1 species